UGUAUUUCUGCGCUGUCAGCGGAAAGCCAGACCUGGCGGUAACAGACAUGUACAGACUUACUGGGGAUGACUGUCCUGGAGACUGAGGGAAGGAGGGAAUGCAGGUGUGUCUGUGAAAGUGGUAUAAAUGAUAGGCCCAGGGCAGCUGGCUGGGCCUGGGCUGCUGGGACGACUGAUGAGGGGGGAACACCUCGUGUACCCUGUCUGAGGCUGAGCCGGGCCGGCUGGGGGCACACUGAGGUGGAGAAAAAGUGACGACACAGAAAUAAGACGGUAUACAACUGGGGCACGGAGACAUGAUACUAGAUAACACAACAUCUUGGUAGUCCAGCGGGUCCAGCGGCUCCAGGGGGCAUGAGCAUGGCUGGGGCCACAAACCAGACGAGACCGGCCGGAGGGUGGAGAGCUGAGAGCAGAGAGCGGGAACAAACUCCAGCCUCCAGACCGAGGAGCUGUUCUGUGAGAAUGUGUCCAUCUGCAGCAUACGCUGGAGCCCGCCCAAAAGAAACAGACUAAAAUUAAACCACAGCAAGACAGCCAAGCUCCGUGUUUAAAGUACUCACAAACAGAGGAUUACUGUGUUAUACCAUCUGUAAAGCUCUGAGAAAGGGCCAAUAAUGCUGUCUAAA